AUUUUAAUAGCUUAAAUUAGAGCAUGAUAUUGAAGAUAUCAAGGAGAUUUAUUAUCUUAAAAUA
rnacentral:tRNA from 1 species